rnacentral:lncRNA from 1 species
CCCAAGAUUUGACACCGAAUACAUCAUAAUUGUAAACCAUACAUACAUACUUAAUAGGCAAAGAUGAAGUCUGAACACAAGGUCUACCAAAGAUGAAAAAAAUUAGAGGCAUUGUAAAUUGACUAGGAUCUAGAGCAAAAAUGCAAAUGAUCCUACAAUGCAUGUGAGGUGGGCCUUGAACAUGCAUUGUACUUGAAAUGAUCUACAAUUUCUUUGAAAGGAAAUCCACAGAACAAAUCAUAAUGUGAUAGUCCCAGGAGAUCAUACCAUCACAUUAUCAAAAUCCAGCUGAUAACGCAGUUCAUAUGUAUCGAAUACCUGUUACAUCGUUAAUUAGCAGAAUCACACAUCACAUAGAACAACAUCAAGUAGAUGCGUAGCGCCUUAGGGGUGAAUACUCCAUCUCCACAAGCAGACUCAAACAUAGGACAAGACCCUCUAAUAGUCGUACUUAGGCUUAUCACCCAUUAAAUAAUUUUUAGUACAAUUUAUAUUGGCUAGUGACUCCCAUACCAUGCUUUGCUUUGCUUUACGGAAAGUUGUUUGCAAGGGUAAGAGAAAAGAACCUACUAUUUGGCCGUGGUUUCCUAUGCAAAUUUUAUCAUUAUGUACUAGUUAUUCUCAAGUUUUAACCGAUCCACCCCAUCCAUAAUCCACACAAUCACACCACACUCUUACAUCUCACCACCACGCUCUCUAGUUGACAUUGCCUCAACGUCCUUGGGCCAGAUCCUUAUCCAACCCAAGGGGAAGAGAAGAAGACACCACUCUGGCACUCUCUAGUCAAGUGAAGUGAGAAACAUAGGAAUGUCCAUAACUGUGUACAUGAUUAUACAUAUAAAUCGAUCAACUCUGCAGAGGGAUGCACCUGUACCCACAAGAUCACCAUCAUUUGCGGCGCCCCGCCUAGGCUAAUUCUGAGCUGCCAUCCAACUGGUACGAUACCACCCUACAACUCAGCUUUGAGUCACCCCGUAGGCACGCUGAGAUUGUGAAACAUAGUACCCAGCCUCUCACUGGUCACCAUGUGAUCUCAGGAGGGUUAGAGGAUACACCCUUACCUCUCCUUACACUAUCACCUACAUCCUAUAUAUGCAAUAGUGGUAUCACCUUAGCUAGAUCAUAUCCGUCUCCCGCUUGAAUGAGAGCGAGUGGCAUGUAAGAAGGCUCUUAUGGACCGGUUCUCCCAACUCAGUCUUUAGUAGGACCUGACAAUAUCUCUCCUCAAGUGGGAAGCUCUUCCUCCCAUUUAAUAAAAGAGAUCCCGUCUCCAAAAAACAAAAUAUUUCAUCCUCUAACAUUAUUCAACCGUGAAUGAGUUUAGCCAUUCGAAAAACACGCUCUUAGUACCUAGAUCACACUUCACCAUAAAGUGUUAGAGAAACGUUCAAAUACUACUCAAUAAAGAGAUUCAAGCUUCCAUCCUAUUUCUACUUCCCCAAUCCCCAUCCAAAUUAAAGUUGAAGAGGUCUGAUCAUCAUGAUCCGUGAGGUUAUCUACCAGAUGAUGAAGUUAGUUGCAACUACAACCAUAUCACAUUAGACCUUGUUCCGAAAAUCAUGGCUUUUCUGCUAGAUUUAUUAGCAACCUUUUGAAAUCUUACGCAUAAAACUCUUCAACACUAACCACACAUGUUGUGGUGCCGCCGAAGACUAGCAUAAAAACUAGCCGCCACACCUGUAGCACAAAUUAAAUUAGUCUAAGAAAAACUAUGGCUGCUACAACUGAUGUGUUAAACUAAAUGGUAGCCAAACUCUUGUGGCAACCGUAUGCAUAACUUGGCAAAGUUUGACUGUGACCAAAACACCGCGGCAAUGAAACAAGAGUUUGCACGAGACGCCCACAUGUUUGGUACACUAUUACCGUACUCUCUUCAUUCACAAAAAAAUAUAAUGAUGGGAUUCGUGCCGGUCAACUUUGACCAAGUUUAUAGUAAAUAAUAUUAGUAUUUAUUUAAAUAAAUUUGUGAUGAAAAUAUAUUCUAUAGUUAAUCUAAUAGUACUUAUUUUGUAUAAAACAUUAUUAGUAUUUUAAUAUAAUUUCUAUCUAAGUUUAAAAUGAUUGACUCUUUGAUAAAUGAGAAUUAUGUUCUUUUGUGGAGUUACAACUUUUGGACUCAAACCCACAUUGGCUCAACCCAGACGUCACUUUGCUUAGGUUGGGCCCAGCCAUGUGUGUGUGUGCGUGUUUGCAGUUGCACCAGAUAGAAGCAGCCUAUGCGUUGUCAAAAAAAAAAAAAAAAACAGCCGAUGUAUCAUGGUCAUGGUCAUGGAUGACGCAUCCAACAAAUUCAGGUACAACUCAUGUGUCAUGUGUGUGCAGAAGCGCGAGUUGGAUACAGACAAUAACCGUCCCAGAACCUAGUACCCCUGUCGUGUCCUGUUCUACAAUUUAUCUUCCAAUAAAUAAUUAAAAUUAAUAGUAUAUACAUGGUCCCUGUUUAGUGACAGGUGGAAUGUCAUAUAUAGCGUUUGGAUACUAAUAAAAAAACAAAAUACAUAAUCUAUCCGUUAUAAAACGAAUUUAUUAAACCUAACUAAUCUAUUAUUAAUAUAUGUGUUAUUGUAACAUUUUAUUAUUAAAUUAUGUACUAAUUAGAUUUAAAAGAUUUGUCUCAAAAUAGUUCGUGAAAUUUUUUUUAAGAAACUAAACAAGGUUAAUCAACUAUGCGUUGUGCAUGUGCUUAGCCACUUAGUGUUCAAGUGAAUUUUGGUCGGGACUCGGGAGCAUCUUUUCCUUGCACUGGACUCGAGAUGCUUUUUGGUACGACGGUAAAAGUAUAUCUAGUAAUUAUUAAGAUCCCAGACUUAGCAAUUAACAUGUGUGUUUAUAUUUUCUAUAAAUUUAUCUCAUAUUCAUAAAGAAACAGUGGUAGGCAACGAUGGUUAUUAGUUAUUAAUAUUAGCAACGAGGUACCUGAGUUACCAACAUGCUUAAGGUUUUUUUUGUCUUUAAUAGAAUUCAUAGAAAAUUACAAAUAUUUGUGAUAUCAAUGAGCACAUUAUAAAAAUACAGUGUAUGGUGUCUAAUAAUGAUACUAUUUGGUGUCAAAAGUCUUGUUUUGCGGACUGGUCAUAAAUUAGCUAAUUGAGUUCCUCGUGGUGGAACUUGUCCACCAAGAUUUAAGUCCUCGACUUGGUAUGAGUGUUCAUAUUUUCCUCAAUUUAUUCUAGGAUUUAACGGCGCUAUGAUUUCAGUGGUAGGUGACAUCCCGUUGAUAGCGAGGCGCCUGUGGUGACUUCAUAAAUCUCGUGAUUUGCUGGCUCAGUCCUUCGAAGGUACUCAUAGGGGUAGAAUUUGCAUACGUAUAUUUAUAAAAGGUGAGUGUGCAUGCGUUGUACUAUAUAAUUCUUAAAAAAAACUCAGUGUAUUUUCUAAAAUUUAAUUAAACAUAAAAAUUCAACUCUAAGAAUUUAUCUAUUCAAGAACAAAGGGAGUACAUACGUUCAAAAAAAGGUGAAUAUAGUUAUGUGUGUAUGACCCU